GAGCGAUGAAACUUUAACAGAACCCUUCGGGGCGAAGAUAAAGUGGAUUAGCGGCGGACGGGUGAGUAACACGUGAGUAACCUGCCUUAGACAUUGGGAUAGCCUCGGGAAACCGGGAUUAAUACCAAAUAAAAUCAUAAUGACACAUGUCAUAACGAUCAAAACUCCGGUGGUCUAAGAUGGACUCGCGUCCCAUUAGCUAGUUGGUAGAGUAAAAGCCUACCAAGGCGACGAUGGGUAGCCGGCCUGAGAGGGUGAACGGCCACAUUGGAACUGAGAAACGGUCCAAACUCCUACGGGAGGCAGCAGUGGGGAAUAUUGCACAAUGGAGGGAACUCUGAUGCAGCGACGCCGCGUGAACGAAGAAGGCUUUCGAGUCGUAAAGUUCUUUUAUAUGGGAAGAUGAUGACGGUACCAUAAGAAAAAGCCCCGGCUAACUACGUGCCAGCAGCCGCGGUAAUACGUAGGGGGCUAGCGUUGUCCGGAAUCACUGGGCGUAAAGGGUUCGCAGGCGGAAAUGCAAGUCAGAUGUAAAAGGCAGUAGCUUAACUACUGUAAGCAUUUGAAACUGCAUAUCUUGAGAAGAGUAGAGGUAAGUGGAAUUUUUAGUGUAGCGGUGAAAUGCGUAGAUAUUAAAAAGAAUACCGGUGGCGAAGGCGACUUACUGGGCUCAU
rnacentral:rRNA from 2 species